rnacentral:lncRNA from 1 species
ACAAUUUUAGAUUUGGUGUCAAUCAUUGUUUCUAAACUUGAUAUGGAAGUGGAAGUGUAGUUUCUGGAGCUUCUUUUUCUAUUGUUUUUGGAUACAAACAUGACCUCAAUAACAUCACCUUCACCAAACGCUUCCCCAACUGAUAUUCUUCCAACAACACCUUUGUCUGCCUCACCACCAUCACCUUCUUUGCCAUCAGAGAUUAUACCCGCUUCACCAUCUCCUGAAACAACUCUUCCUGAUCAAACCAUUGAUCCUCCACUCCCUUCAAGUCCGUCUAACUCUUCAACUCCA